AUCCAGUUGACGAGUCCCGAAUAAGACGAAACGCGCUUCCCGGAU
rnacentral:hammerhead_ribozyme from 1 species